rnacentral:lncRNA from 1 species
UAAGAAAGUAAAACUUGUCCAGUGCAUUUCGUAGGGCUCAAAACAGACCACGAAGUCCCCCUCCUCUUCUAUUGUACUUCAGAACCCAAGGCACGGAGUCCUCUGCAGAACAAAAGAAAAUCAGGCAGAGAGAAAGCCAGCCAGGAGGACUGGGAAAGAUUCCGGUGAUCAACUGAAACCAAAAAUUAAUCCUGAAGGACUUACAUGCAUAAACUCACUCCAAAAUCCAAAAUACUCUGCACAAGUCCGCUGGAGUCACUUUUCCUGCUUUGUCAUCAUCCUCACUCCAAUACUCAAGGCCAACAUCACCUCUUAAAGGUACAAUUGCCAUUGUCUUCAAGCUGUUCUUUCUGCUUCCAAUUCUGUUCCCGCUGUACUAUUGUAUUGUAAGAAGACAGAUAUGAGAAUUGCUAAGCUUAAUAAAUCUACUUAUGUUUGAAUUUGCA